rnacentral:rRNA from 1 species
AUUGAACGCUGGCGGCAGGCCUAACACAUGCAAGUCGAACGAGUGGCGGACGGGUGAGUAAUGUCUGGGAAAAUGCCUGAUGGAGGGGGAUAACUACUGGAAACGGUAGCUAAUACCGCAUACCAUCAGAUGUGCCCAGAUGGGAUUAGCUAGUUGGUGGGGUAACGGCUCCCCAUGGCGACGGUCCCUAGCUGGUCUGAGAGGAUGCCCUGCCACACUGGAACUGAGACACGGUCCGGAAUCCUACGGGAGGCAGCAGUGGGGAUUAUUGCACAAUGGGCGCAAGCCUGAUGCAGCAAUGCCGUGUGUAUGAAGAAGGCCUUCGGGUUGUAAAGUACUUUCAGCGGGGAGGCGUUACCCGCAGAAGAAGCACCGGCUAACUCCGUGCCAGCAGCCGCGGUAAUAC